UCCUCCUUUACUGUGUUGAUUCCCUUUAUAUAUUUAAAUGUUUCUAUCAUAUCCCCCCUGUCUCGUCUUUCCUACAAACAAUGGGGCUGCAACACAUGGCGGCGGGCACCUGGUCGCAUGGCUGCGACCCCUGCGACCACGGUAUGUAUGCCAGUGCAUGCAGAUACACAUACACUUAAAGGACCACUACAGACACCCAGAUCACAUCAGCUCAAUGAAAUGGUCUGGGUGCCAGGUCCCUCUAGUUUUAACACUGUAGCUGAAAACAUAGUUUCACUGAGGGUUAAUCCAGCCUCUAGUGGCUGUCUCAUUGACAGCUGUUAGAGAAGCUUCUGCGAUUCUCACUGUGAAAAUCACAGUGAGAAGACGCUGAACGUCAUUAGGAAAGCAUUGAGUAAUGCUUUCCUAUGGGCGGUUUGAAUGCGCGCGCGCGGCUCUUGCCAUGCAUGCACAUUCGGAGCUGAGAGGCGGAUCAGGGCGGAGAGAUCCCCAGUGCCAAGGGAAUCCGGCGCUGGAGAAAGCAAAGUGCUUAAGACACACACACACACUCUCAUGAACAGACGCAUACACACUAGCUAACAGACACACACAUUUACUGACAGACACACACUCACUGACAGACAUACAUACACACUCACUGACAGACAGACUCACUCACUUACAAAACACACAAACUAACACUCAGUAACAGACACACACAGUAAUACACUCACUGACACACUCUAACAUACACACACUCUAACACACACACACACACGUUUUUUUUUUUUAAAUUUAAUCCCCCAGCCUCCCUACCUUUGGGAGUGCUGAGGGGAUUCCCUGGGGUCCACCGGGCGCGCGGGCACGCGAGGGAGCACUCUCCCUGGCUGAGUACUUCCCGUUCAGCUCCCUCAUCUUCCGGCUCCGGUAUCAGUGCGGUGCGCGAGGGAGCACUCAGGGGAGAGUGCUCCCUCACGCGCCCGCCCGCCCGGUGACAGCAGGGCCAGCCUGGUGAGCCCCCCGUUAUGUACGCCACUGGUGGUCACAGGUAGACGGUGAACAAUGACUGUAUAAAUACAUUUUUCUAGAAGACAGCAAUGCUCCCGCACAAACACAUAUUAACAUUCACAAAAUGAAAGGGACACUCAUAGGCGUGCGCACGGGGUGUGCCGGGUGUGCCUGGGCACACCCUAAUCCCCGUGGCACGCCUAUGGUUUGAGUCCUGCAGGCACUCAGCGCCCCCCUGUCUCACCUCUUGCCCCUGUCAUGGGGGGCAAGAGGUGAUGGAUUAC